rnacentral:rRNA from 1 species
GGUCAGGAUGAACGCUAGCGACAGGCUUAACACAUGCAAGUCGAGGGGCAGCACGGGAGUAGCAAUACGAACUGGUGGCGACCGGCGCACGGGUGAGUAACGCGUAUGCAACCUACCUAUCAGAGGGGAAUAACCCGGCGAAAGUCGGACUAAUACCGCAUAAAACAGGGGCACCGCAUGGUGAUAUUGUUAAAGAAAUUCGCUGAUAGAUGGGCAUGCGUUCCAUUAGGUAGUUGGUGAGGUAACGGCUCACCAAGCCGACGAUGGAUAGGGGAACUGAGAGGUUGGUCCCCCACACUGGUACUGAGACACGGACCAGACUCCUACGGGAGGCAGCAGUGAGGAAUAUUGGUCAAUGGGCGAGAGCCUGAACCAGCCAAGUCGCGUUGAAGGAAGAAGGAUCUAUGGUUCGUAAACUUCUUUUGCAGGGGAAUAAAGUGCGGGACGUGUCCUGUUUUGUAUGUACCCUGAGAAUAAGGAUCGGCUAACUCCGUGCCAGCAGCGGC